GAUGAACGCUGGCGGCGUGCCUAACACAUGCAAGUCGAGCGAUUCUCUUCGGAGAAGAGCGGCGGACGGGUGAGUAACGCGUGGGUAACCUGCCCUGUACACACGGAUAACAUACCGAAAGGUAUGCUAAUACGAGAUAAUAUACUUUUAUCGCAUGGUAGGAGUAUAAAAGCUUUUGCGGUACAGGAUGGACCUGCGUCUGAUUAGCUAGUUGGUAAGGUAACGGCUUACCAAGGCGACGCUCAGUAGCCGACCUGAGAGGGUGAUCGGCCACAUUGGAACUGAGACACGGUCCAAACUCCUACGGGAGGCAGCAGUGGGGAAUAUUGCACAAUGGGCGAAAGCCUGAUGCAGCAACGCCGCGUGAGCGAUGAAGGCCUUCGGGUCGUAAAGCUCUGUCCUCAAGGAAGAUAAUGACGGUACUUGAGGAGGAAGCCCCGGCUAACUACGUGCCAGCAGCCGCCGCAG
rnacentral:rRNA from 1 species